rnacentral:rRNA from 1 species
UACGUAGGGGGCGAGCGUUGUCCGGAAUUAUUGGGCGUAAAGAGCUCGUAGGCGGUCUGUUGCGUCCGCUGUGAAAACUCGGGGCUUAACCCCGAGCCUGCAGUGGAUACGGGCAGACUAGAGGUAGGUAGGGGAGAAUGGAAUUCCCGGUGUAGCGGUGAAAUGCGCAGAUAUCGGGAGGAACACCGGUGGCGAAGGCGGUUCUCUGGGCCGAUACUGACGCUGAGGAGCGAAAGCGUGGGGAGCGAACAGG